rnacentral:rRNA from 1 species
UAGGGAAUCUUCCACAAUGGACGAAAGUCUGAUGGAGCAACGCCGCGUGAGUGAAGAAGGUUUUCGGAUCGUAAAGCUCUGUUGUUGGUGAAGAAGGAUAGAGGCAGUAACUGGUUUCUAUUUGACAGUAAUCAACCAGAAAGUCACGGCUAACUACGUGCCAG